rnacentral:rRNA from 1 species
GUACGAACGCUGGCGGCGUGCUUAACACAUGCAAGUCGAACGGAAAGGCCCUGCUUUUGUGGGGUGCUCGAGUGGCGAACGGGUGAGUAACACGUGAGUAACCUGCCCUUGACUUUGGGAUAACUUCAGGAAACUGGGGCUAAUACCGGAUAGGAGCUCCUGCUGCAUGGCGGGGGUUGGAAAGUUUCGGCGGUUGGGGAUGGACUCGCGGCUUAUCAGCUUGUUGGUGGGGUAGUGGCUUACCAAGGCUUUGACGGGUAGCCGGCCUGAGAGGGUGACCGGCCACAUUGGGACUGAGAUACGGCCCAGACUCCUACGGGAGGCAGCAGUGGGGAAUAUUGCACAAUGGGCGGAAGCCUGAUGCAGCAACGCCGCGUGCGGGAUGACGGCCUUCGGGUUGUAAACCGCUUUCGCCUGUGACGAAGCGUGAGUGACGGUAAUGGGUAAAGAAGCACCGGCUAACUACGUGCCAGCAGCCGCGGUGAUACGUACGGUGCGAGCGUUGUCCGGAUUUAUUGGGCGUAAAGGGCUCGUAGGUGGUUGAUCGCGUCGGAAGUGUAAUCUUGGGGCUUAACCCUGAGCGUGCUUUCGAUACGGGUUGACUUGAGGAAGGUAGGGGAGAAUGGAAUUCCUGGUGGAGCGGUGGAAUGCGCAGAUAUCAGGAGGAACACCAGUGGCGAAGGCGGUUCUCUGGGCCUUUCCUGACGCUGAGGAGCGAAAGCGUGGGGAGCGAACAGGCUUAGAUACCCUGGUAGUCCACGCUGUAAACGGUGGGUACUAGGUGUGGGGUCCAUUCCACGGGUUCCGUGCCGUAGCUAACGCUUUAAGUACCCCGCCUGGGGAGUACGGCCGCAAGGCUAAAACUCAAAGGAAUUGACGGGGCCCUGCACAAGCGGCGGAGCAUGCGGAUUAAUUCGAUGCAACGCGUAGAACCUUACCUGGGUUUGACAUGGAUCGGGAGUGCUCAGAGAUGGGUGUGCCUCUUUUGGGGUCGGUUCACAGGUGGUGCAUGCCUGUCGUCAGCUCGUGUCGUGAGAUGUUGGGUUAAGUCCCGCAACGAGCGCAACCCUUGUUCACUGUUGCCAGCACGUUAUGGUGGGGACUCAGUGGAGACCGCCGGGGUCAACUCGGAGGAAGGUGGGGAUGACGUCAAGUCAUCAUGCCCCUUAUGUCCAGGGCUUCACGCAUGCUACAAUGGCUGGUACAGAGAGUGGCGAGCCUGUGAGGGUGAGCGAAUCUCGGAAAGCCGGUCUCAGUUCGGAUUGGGGUCUGCAACUCGACCUCAUGAAGUCGGAGUCGCUAGUAAUCGCAGAUCAGCAACGCUGCGGUGAAUACGUUCCCGGGGCU